rnacentral:rRNA from 1 species
AAUGAACGUUGGCGGCGUGGAUUAGGCAUGCAAGUCGAGCGCGAACCUUCAGCAAUGGAGGGGAAAGCGGCGAAAGGGAGAGUAACGCGUGGAUUAUCUACCCUCGGGACCGGGAUAGCUGCGGGAAACUGCAGGUAAUACCGGAUAACAUCUUCGGAUCAAAUGGUGUGAUUCCGCCCGUGGAUGAGUCCGCGUCCUAUCAGCUAGUUGGCAGGGUAACGGCCUACCAAGGCAAUGACGGGUACUGGGUGUGAGAGCACGACCCAGCUCACUGGGACUGAGACACUGCCCAGACACCUACGGGUGGCUGCAGUCGAGGAUCUUCGGCAAUGGGCGCAAGCCUGACCGAGCGACGCCGCGUGCGGGAUGAAGGCCCUCGGGUUGUAAACCGCUGUCGUAGGGGAGGAAGGUCCGGUGAAGAAUCGGAUUUGACCUAUCCUAGGAGGAAGUGUGGGCUAAGUACGUGCCAGCCGCCGCGGUAAUAC